AGGGAAGUGGGAACCAGAAAAAAAAACAUCGGAAAGGUCUGUUCAAUGGAUCAGUCAGCUAAAUAGUAGCAAGAAGAUUGAGUAUGCUGGUUUAGAUGUCGUCCAGUUGCGGUUUCUACGGUUACACAGCCACUCUGCCUCCCAACGUGUGAGCAUAGGUUGCCCGGCCAACCACGUCAUCGCCAACACAACUGGCAGGCUUCACUUUCUUGGAGACACGAAUACAAAGAUUGGUUCGAAGCAUAUCACCGUGACCAGGAAAGAUUGUGAGGUGGAGGUGGAGUUGAGUGUGUGGGGGAGCGCUGAGCUACAUCGGGGGGACAUGGAGCUGCUUCCUG